UACGGGGGAUGCAAGCGUUAUCCGGAUUUAUUGGGCGUAAAGCGCCUGUAGGUUGUUUAAUAAGUCUGUUGUUAAAGACUAGGGCUUAACCCUAGGAAAGCAAUGGAAACUACUAGACUUGAGUAUGAUAGGGGUAGAGGGAAUUUCUAGUGUAGCGGUGAAAUGCGUAGAUAUUAGAAAGAACACCGGCGGCGAAGGCGCUCUACUGGAUCAUUACUGACACUCAGAGGCGAAAGCUAGGGUAGCAAAAGGGAUUAGAUACCCCUGUAGUCCUAGCCGUAAACGAUGGAUACUAGAUGUUGUGAUUAACAUGCAGUGACGAAGCUAACGCGUUAAGUAUCCCACCUGGGGAGUACGCUCGCAAGGGUG
rnacentral:rRNA from 1 species